rnacentral:rRNA from 1 species
UGGGGAAUAUUGCACAAUGGGGGAAACCCUGAUGCAGCAACGCCGCGUGAAGGAAGAAGGCCUUUGGGUCGUAAACUUCUGUCCUUGGGGAAGAUAAUGACGGUACCCUUGGAGGAAGCCCCGGCUAACUACGUGCCAGCAGCCGCGGUAAUACGUAGGGGGCAAGCGUUAUCCGGAAUUAUUGGGCGUAAAGGGUACGUAGGCGGUUUCUUAAGCGCAGGGUUUAAGGCAAUGGCUCAACCAUUGUUCGCCCUGUGAACUGGGAGACUUGAGUGCAGGAGAGGAAAGCGGAAUUCCUAGUGUAGCGGUGAAAUGCGUAGAUAUUAGGAGGAACACCAGUGACGAAGGCGGCUUUCG